UGCGAGGUGUGAUGGCUAAUAUGUAAGGUGAGCUGGGGUUCUCCAGUCUGUGUAACGAACUGUGUUUGCUGGUCAAAGAUAAAUUAGAUAAAGUGAUUUAGUUUAUCUAGGAGUACUUUACAUAAAUGUAACGUCAUUCCUAAAUUAGAUAAAGUAGCCAAAUAUAUCUAGGACUCCUAGGUUUAUAUAUAAGACCCUUGAUUUGGUAAAAUUCUUCACAGAAUAUACUGUUGUUAAGUCUUUGUUUUGA
rnacentral:lncRNA from 1 species